GCAAGUAUGCUGGAAUUGGUAAACAGGACCGGUUUAAGUUCGGUUGUCACUUAUGGCUUGAGAGUUCGAGUCUCUCUACUUGUA
rfam:Trichosporon asahii var. asahii CBS 8904 mitochondrion, complete sequence, whole genome shotgun sequence.